UGGGGAAUAUUGCGCAAUGGGGGGAACCCUGACGCAGCCAUGCCGCGUGAAUGAAGAAGGCCUUCGGGUUGUAAAGUUCUUUCGGUAUUGAGGAAGGUUGAUGUGUUAAUAGUACAUCAAAUUGACGUUAAAUACAGAAGAAGCACCGGCUAACUCCGUGCCAGCAGCCGCGGUAAUACGGAGGGUGCGAGCGUUAAUCGGAAUAACUGGGCGUAAAGGGCACGCAGGCGGUUAUUUAAGUGAGGUGUGAAAGCCCUGGGCUUAACCUAGGAAUUGCAUUUCAGACUGGGUAACUAGAGUACUUUAGGGAGGGGUAGAAUUCCACGUGUAGCGGUGAAAUGCGUAGAGAUGUGGGGGAAUACCGAAGGCGAAGGCAGCCCCUUGGGAAUGUACUGACGCUCAUGUGCGAAAGCGUGGGGAGCAAACAGGAUUAGAUACCCUGGUAGUCCACGCUGUAAACGCUGUCGAUUUGGGGGUUGGGGUUUAACUCUGGCGCCCGUAGCUAACGUGAUAAAUCGACCGCCUGGGGAGUACGGCCGCAAGGUUA
rnacentral:rRNA from 1 species